CGACCUGCCGACAACACUGGGAUAGCCUUUCGAAAGAAAGAUUAAUACCGGAUGGCAUAGUUUUCCCGCAUGGGAUAAUUAUUAAAGAAUUUCGGUUGUCGAUGGGGAUGCGUUCCAUUAGGCAGUUGGCGGGGUAACGGCCCACCAAACCUACGAUGGAUAGGGGUUCUGAGAGGAAGGUCCCCCACAUUGGAACUGAGACACGGUCCAAACUCCUACGGGAGGCAGCAGUGAGGAAUAUUGGUCAAUGGACGAGAGUCUGAACCAGCCAAGUAGCGUGAAGGAUGACUGCCCUAUGGGUUGUAAACUUCUUUUAUACGGGAAUAAAGUGAGCCACGUGUGGCUUUUUGUAUGUACCGUAUGAAUAAGGAUCGGCUAACUCCGUGCCAGCAGCCGCGGUAAUACGGAGGAUUCGAGCGUUAUCCGGAUUUAUUGGGUUUAAAGGGAGCGUAGGCGGGUUGUUAAGUCAGUUGUGAAAGUUUGCGGCUCAACCGUAAAAUUGCAGUUGAUACUGGCGACCUUGAGUGCAACAGAGGUAGGCGGAAUUCGUGGUGUAGCGGUGAAAUGCUUAGAUAUCACGAAGAACUCCGAUUG
rnacentral:rRNA from 1 species